CCUGGAGGCCAUACCACCCUGAGCACGCCCGAUCUCGUCUGAUCUCUAAAGCUAAGCAGGGUCGGGCCUGGUUAGUACUUGGAUGGGAGACCGCCUGGGAAUACCAGGUGCUGUAAUGC
ensembl:rRNA 5S_rRNA 5S ribosomal RNA